AACGAACGCUGGCGGCGUGGAUAAGACAUGCAAGUCGAACGGAUUCGUUGUCGUAGCAAUACGAUGGCGGGUCAGUGGCGCAAGGGUGCGUAACACGUGGGCAACCUGCCCUGGAGUUUGGGAUAGCCCGCCGAAAGGCGGAUUAAUACCGGAUGUGGCUACCUGCUGAUUAGCGGGGACGCUAAAGGUGGCGCAAGCUGCCGCUCCUGGAUGGGCCCGCGGCCUAUCAGCUAGUUGGUUGGGGUAACGGCCCACCAAGGCGAUGACGGGUAGCUGGUCUGAGAGGACGACCAGCCACACUGGAACUGAGACACGGUCCAGACACCUACGGGUGGCAGCAGUCGAGAAUUUUUCGCAAUGGGGGAAACCCUGACGGAGCGACGCCGCGUGGAGGAUGAAGGUCUUCGGAUUGUAAACUCCUGUCAUUGGUGAACAAAGCUUUCCGGUUAACUGCCGGGGAGCCUGCUAGUAGCCGAAGAGGAAGGGACGGCUAACUCUGUGC
rnacentral:rRNA from 1 species